rnacentral:tRNA from 1 species
AAGAUUUUAUCUUAAUUAAAGUAUCUGAGUUGCAUUCAGAAGAUGAGAGUUAAUACCCCUCAUAUCUUA